CACUGAACCACUGGUUCCCAUAUGAUCACUGAAGUUAAGCAAUGUCAAAUCAGGGCAGUACCUAGAUGAGUGACCUCUUGAGAAUACCAGGUGCUGUAAG